CUGUGACCUCAGGGCUUGGCCACACUGCCCUGUGCCUGCUGGACCAGGGCUCCUUUAGAGCUACAGAGAGCCACCACAAGGGCGGCCACCAGAUAGGACAGCUGUGCUUCUGAACUGCCAGGGCCUCAGGGCAGAGGCUGUCACUGUGCUCUGGAUUUCCCUGGGGAGACAGACAAAUGAGCUGACACCUUGUGACACCCAGCAUCUGUCCAGGAGGACACAGGCACUCACGCCAAUCAGGUGGGCGUACGGGCUUGGGGUCAGGAGGUGUGUGGGCUCCUAUCCUGCAGCUGGAGGGACAGAGCAACGGCCUGAUGUGCC
rnacentral:lncRNA from 1 species